GCCUCUGUGGCGGAAUUGGUAGACGCGGCAGACUCAAAAUCUGUUGUCCCUAGGACAUGCUGGUUCGAUUCCAGUCAGAGGCAC
rnacentral:tRNA from 1 species